rnacentral:lncRNA from 1 species
GGGAGCUUGAAGGGCAAGGUGGUGAUGGUCACCGGCGCCUCCGCCGGCAUCGGCCGGGAGAUAUGCCUCGACCUCGCCGCCGCCGGGUGCAAGAUCGUUGCCGCCGCGCGGAGGGUCGAUCGCCUCAAAUCCCUCUGCGACGAGAUCAACGGCUCCUCCAACACUGUCCAAGCCGUCGCCGUGGAGCUCGACGUCAGCCGCAAGAGCCCCGCGAUCGAGGCCGCCGUGCACGACGCGUGGAACGCCUUCGGCCGCAUCGACGCGUUGGUGAACAACGCCGGAGUUAGAGGUAAUUUUAGCCAUAACGAUUUCUGAUCGUUACACUGUCGUGCUCGAGAAAGCAUCUCCUGCAUCCCACAGCGUUCUACUGAUGUCCGCUGCGUGUGAGCUCAGGUGGCGUGUACUCGGCGGUGGACUGGUCCGAGGAAGAGUGGCACAGGAUCAUGACCACCAACCUAACCGGGCUGUGGCUGGUGUCGAAGCACGUGUGCAUACGCAUGCGAGAUGCGACGCAGAAGGGCGCGGUGAUCAAUAUCUCAUCCAUCGCCGGCGUUGCACGCGGCCAGC